GCUGUGCAGAGAGAGGGUUAUGAAGGUGCUUGAACAAUGAGUGCUCAGGACUGACUAUAUAUGUAAACAGUGAAACUCCAGCAGCAAGAUAGAUAUUUAGGACCAGAUCCUGUAACUGGAUCUGUGGGCACUCUCAUAGAUUUCUCUGGGACUCAGUGUGGGCUAAAUGCAGGAUUAAGGUUUUUACAGGGCUUAAAUUUAGCUGGAGCCAUCCAGAGCUGAGUUCCAGUAAAUAUUUUUAAGCUGAAGGAACCCUGGUGCCUUUUCACAGGGCUAAAGCCCUGAGAUCCUAAAGGGGAAAAAGAUAGGGUGGGUCUUGGAACUAAUCUCUAAGAAUUUAAGUCCUGGGUUUUAGGGUACAAUUUUCAAAGUUAUCUAGGAAUUUAGAAAUAUUCUCCAUUUUUUUCAUACUGUACCUUGUCCACUUUCAUGUAUGUGAAGUUUAUACAUGAUAAGAAAGGUCUGGCCUAAGAACUCAGAUAGGCUGCAAUUUCUUUUACAGGAGAAGACUAUCUGCCUUCAUCAAAGUCUCCGGAGGCAAUCCUAGCAAUUACAUCCGGUGACCCUCCUGCCCCGAUAGAAUUUACAUCCAGGCUAAACCAUUGUGUUGAUGGCCCAUCAAGGACUCAGAACUCUCAUAAUAGGCCAUUGAAGAAAUUCAUCCUGUCCAGACAGCUUUUCCUGAGGAUGCCUCAGAUAGCGAGAGGCCAGUGGCCAUCAUGUAAGGACAUGUGAUAUGUUCAUGUGACCUUGGACUCCAUCUUAGGCCAGUAACUUUCCACAAACAGGGGCUGUGGGCUGUGUUUGGGCUAGUAAAAUUCCAUGCACAUGGCAGAGGCUAUAAAAGACCCCUGAAACAUCUCUAUUUUGUCUUCAUUUCCUGCUUCAUUUCUCUGGACUGGAUUCUAACAAGGAAGCUUUGAACAAGGACUGAUGACCCCCAAUCUACUUGGGUGAUUCCAGAGAGACUUUUGCAAACCAGCAGUUGAUUCUAUUGCUGUUACAAACCUGAUGUAAGGACUUUGCAAUCACUUGUGUGUAUAUAUAUGAUUCCUUAACCAUU